GCCAGUCCGGAAGGGGCUACGGCCAUGUGUCUGGCGCCGUUUCCUAGAGUCCAGGAGCUUCCCCCCCUGCUGCUUAGAACCGAACUAGAGCCGGGCGGGCGAGGGCUGGUGCGAGGAGUGGGGCAGCCCCAGGGCCCCGCCUCUGCAGCAGAUUCGCCGGGUUUGUUUAAUAAGUGAAGUUUUGAAAGCAACUCUGUUGUGCUAGUGCGUGAUUGCCAAGGAAAAGGUUUGGAGCUGAAAUGGAACUCUAAAGAUUAAUAUUAGAUUUGAACGUAUAAUACAUUGAGGAAGCUGCAUUGAAGAUGAUGAAAGGAACAUGUGUGAACAUGUAGGAUCUU